GGAACGUACCCAGAUCUAAGGAAUAGCCACUGGAAACGGUGAGUAAUACCUUAUACGCCCUUCGGGGGAAAGAUUUAUCGGAUUUGGAUCGGCCCGCGUUAGAUUAGAUAGUUGGUGGGGUAAUGGCCUACCAAGUCUACGAUCUAUAGCUGGUUUUAGAGGAUGAUCAGCAACACUGGGACUGAGACACGGCCCAGACUCCUACGGGAGGCAGCAGUGGGGAAUCUUGGACAAUGGGCGCAAGCCUGAUCCAGCCAUGCCGGGUGAGUGAUGAAGGCCUUAGGGUCGUAAAGCUCUUUCGCCAGAGAUGAUAAUGACAGUAUCU
rnacentral:rRNA from 1 species